UACGAACCGUACGAACGUUAUUCGGAAUUACUGGGCUUAAAGGGUGCGUAGGCUGUGCGGAAAGUUGGGCGUGAAAUACCUCAGCUUAACUGAGGAACUGCGUUCAAAACUACCGUGCUCGAGGGAGACAGAGGUAAGCGGAACUUAGGGUGGAGCGGUGAAAUGCGUUGAUAUCCUAAGGAACACCGGUGGCGAAAGCGGCUUACUGGGUCUCUUCUGACGCUGAUGCACGAAAGCUAGGGUAGCGAACGGG
rnacentral:rRNA from 1 species